UACAGAGGGUGCAAGCGUUAAUCGGAAUUUACUGGGCGUAAAGCGUGCGUAGACGGUUUAUUUAAGUCAGGUGUGAAAGCCCCGGGCUCAACCUGGGAAUUGCAUUUGAGACUGAAUAGCUAGGGUGCGGAAGAGGGAAGCGGAAUUUCCGGUGUAGCGGUGAAAUGCGUAGAUAUCGGAAGGAACACCAGUGGCGAAAGCGGCUUUCCUGGUCCAGCACCGACGUUCAGGCACGAAAGCGUGGGGAGCAAACAGGG
rnacentral:rRNA from 1 species